CGACUUUGGCAGUCACAGUCAUAGCUGCCAAAAGCUAGUGUCAAUAGUUUCAGUUGCAGUUGAUAAUUAAACACAUGGCCGUGUUCGAAACUUCUGCAGCCGACAGUACAGCGCUGGCAGCGAUAAGAGUUACGAGUGUGAGUCUAGGAUGCGGCGUUGCUGAGUGACUCGUAUAUGGCAUUACUACCAGCGCGGAGUUCCUCGUAGCUACAAUAAAAACCGCGACAUCAUUCGCCUUACUCGCCAUCUCCGGCAUCUACUUCCUUCACGGGCGCUGCAAAAACAAACACACAUCAAUAUUCAAGAGCCACUCUAUGUAGUUUAUAGGUAAUUACUGCGCUUCGGUAUUUUGUGCUAAUUAAAUUUCUUUAGAAAUUA